UACGAGGGGUGCAAACGUUGCUCGGAAUUAUUGGGCGUAAAGCGUGCGUAGGCGGUCUAGCAAGUCGGGUGUGAAAGCCCUCGGCUUAACCGAGGAAGUGCAUUCGAAACUACUAGGCUUGAGUACCGGAGAGGGUGACGGAAUUCCCGGUGUAGAGGUGAAAUUCGUAGAUAUCGGGAGGAACACCAGUGGCGAAGGCGGUCACCUGGACGGAUACUGACGCUGAGUGCACGAAAGCGUGGGGAGCAAACAGGAUUAGAUACCCUGGUAGUCCACGCUGUAAACGAUGGAUGCUAGACGUCGCGGGUAUUGACCCCUGCGGCAUCGAAGCUAACGCGAUAAGCAUCCCGCCUGGGGAGUACGGCCGCAAGGCUAAA
rnacentral:rRNA from 1 species